rnacentral:rRNA from 1 species
UUAAGACCUAACAAUUUACCGGGUAAUACAGACUACAGUUUAAAAUCCAAAGAAUUUGGCGGUAUCUUAAAUUAUCAGGGGAACCUGUACCUUAAUUUGAUGAUCCACGUAUAUUGAACCUCAUCUUGAAUUUCAGCCUGUGUACUGCUGUCGCCAGCAAACCUUUAAGAGUGUUUGCAUAAAUAUAAUUACAAACGUCAAGUCAAAGUGCAGCCCAUGAUGUGGGGGUAAUGGGUUACAACUUAUAUACAAAAUACAGAAUAUUAAAAUAAAAAUAAUAUAAAGGUGGACUUGAUAGUAAUUUUUAUAAGCUACUAACAUUAACUUAAACCUAAGAUAUGCACACAUCGCCCGUCGCUCUCAUAUA